UGUGAAAGGAGACAUAGGAAACAGGUAAAUUUAGGAAUAAAGUUAAGAAAGCAGGUAGUGAAAGUUUAACUGAGUAGUGAGUAGCAGUAGAGGUAGGAUAUGUAUAGAUACACCAAGUUAGGGAAUUGUCUGAUAGAUUGAGUAGCUAAUUACAAACCAUUGCAUCCAUCUUUAGCACCGAGGUCCAGCUUUGCAGAUAGCAUAAAAACAUCCCACUCAAAAGCAGGGAGUAAGUGUUAACUGGCUUAGGAUGUUGACUAGAUCACAGGUUGUGGUUCUAGAAAUUUGAUGUCCAGGGUUGCUUUUCAGCCAUUUCAAGUCAAGGCUUUCGAAGCAGAAGUCUCAAUUGCUAGAAUUCAGGUACUGAAGACAUCUUAGAUAGAGCUGCUAAUUGCAUUUCACGCUAGUGGGAAAACAUUCCCUAGAUGUGUCAGCUGAAACUGCUCCUCUGAUUUCUUGCCAAUGUUUUAAGCGGAAUUUUACUGCCUAAGGAAUCUGAGGUGUACCUGUUCAGUUUAUCCCACACUGUUAGCUCAGUUUACAUUUGGCCAGGAUUCAGGUGUUUCAUCACAUCAGCGAAAAGAGGGUUAGGCCUAGGCAAGACACUUCUACUGUACCUGGAGAGGAAACCAGGGGCUCUAGCUAAAGUGAUGUAAUGAGGAAAACUCAAGCCCUGUGGAUUUUCUCCAGACCAUACAAAAAUGGCUAUGUGAUGGCAGCCUAUGGUCAUCCUCCUUAAGGCAGCUGGAUCCCACAGACAGGAGUGAGCAAAAACAGGCUAGAAAACCCAUUAAGUAUGAAGCACUGAGGCAGUAUACUGGGAAUGUUUGUGCCAACCUAGCUCUAAGAGCCUGCCUCAGGCAAAAGCCUGCCUCUGAAGCAGAGUGGGAGAUGCUUCAGUGGGUCAACAGGGAGAAUGAAAUAGCUGACUUGAUUAGAUGGCAGGGAAUGUGUUUGCUUGACAGUGUCAAACUAGGCACAGAUAAGAAUGCUCCUUCAGUCUAGGAAUCCUACUUAUUCAGAGUAGCAUUUUUUAAAAAAAUGCUUUAGAAGGGACAACCUAAACAGAAAACAGCUGAUAUUCAUGCCAAAAAGUUUAGUGUUCCAUUGUACUGAUAUUAGUUUCAAUCUAGUGCACCUGUAACAUUUCCUUACUAUCACUUAAUCAUACCAUAUAUUGCAGCACUAAAGUAGGGUGGUUUAAACAUAUUAGAUGGGAAAGUACCCUGGUGUUACUGGAAUUUUGAUCCUGUAUGGUUGUCAUUUGUUUUAUUUGCUGAUUUACAGCCUCUGCUGAACUUUAAGUCUCAGGCCAGGAACCGUUCAUGAAUUACAUUUGUGCUACAAAAGGCAUAGUAAAUUCCUGAAUCAGUUUCCAGGAUAGAACCAACUCAGCCCAUCUGUCCAAGAAAUAACUGAAAAGUGGUCAUGAGGCCAUGAGUAUGAAGACAGGAGGAUUCCAACAUGUUCCCAAUUACUUGGGGAGCAGAGGAUAGUAAGGGACUAUUUCAUAUGUGAAUUCAGUCCUUUCAAAUUGAUUUAAAAAAAGCUUAGGCCUAUAGGUAGCUAUGACUUUUCCAAACAGUGGAAUGUCUGCAUUUACAGCUGUGCUGUUAAUGACAGUGGCAAUACAGUGCUCAUGUAUAGGAUUUUAUUAAGCUGUUCACAUAUAACAGCAUAUUCACUAGAGGUGAAGUGCUAUCAAAGCGCUCAUCAGAAAUGCAGUACAAUGGUGUCUAAAGAAAAUUGUGUAGCUGUUUUGGAAUUUGAUUUAAGACAGAUUUUCGCAGUUAGUUUUUUUAAUCGCUUCCAGUUCAUUCCAAGCUCAGUGAUGAGACAUUUGGCAUAAGUUACAAUUUGAUAACGACCAACAUGUGCCAGACAUGUACAUAAUACAAGCAACUUCCAAAGUACAUAAAGUGGAUAUAGUCAACAUGUAAAGCAACGUAGCCCUCUUACAAGGUCUGCUAUAGGCUUUGAUAAAGUUUGAUAAAGGUAAAGUUUCAAGAGUGGAUCUCAAUGGUUAAACAGAAGUGGAAUCUCCAGGGUGCAAACAGUAUUGCUAAUUUUCAAGCCUCUUAAAAAAAAUGACUUAGGACAAGAGAGAGUCUUUAGAGCAUGAAAUAGUUUGAACGUCUCAAAGGUCCUCUGCCUCCUAGAGCAAUGGCUCUUGCCUGCAAAUGCUGUGCAAGUUUACUACAGCAUGGUGAAAGGCUUUAAAAAAAAAACAAACAUUUAAUUCCAAGUCAGUUAUGGGAAUUAAUCAAUGACUUGUCUGCAAGAAAUAUUUCUAACAUCCAAGACCAAGUUCAUAAAGCCAUAUUCCUACAUUCUGAGCUGUAAGAACGUGUUCACAUCUCAUCUCCACUGCAUGUUUUUAGUGUAAGAUUCAAUAUUAAUACCAGAAUAGAAGAAGUUUUAGAAUCAUCACCAUUGGAGACCAUUAUUACAGUGACUGCCAUUUUACCACAGCAGAAUAAUUCAGGCAUU